GAUGAAGAACGUAGCGAAAUGCGAUAAUUAAUGUGAAUUGCAGAAUUCAGUGAAUCAUCGAGUCUUUGAACGCACAUUGCGCCUUAUGGCUAUUCUGUAAGGCAUGCCUGUCUGAGCGUCAGCAAAAACCUCAAGGUAGUAUGAUGGCUUUUUUUUUUACAUAAAAAGCCUCUUAUCUUGGAUCUUGUCAAGAGAGUGAACUCUUUUGUAGAGUUUACUUCUUGGAAAAUGAUAGAUGGUCAGAAGUAUUGCUUUUAACCAAAUGUGAUAAGAAUUAUUCAUUUGAAAGUUUAUUGAAUACUUUUUGAUCAAAUCUUGAGAAAAAAAAGAAAAAAAAGCUUUAUGGCUUUUUUUGAUUUACUUGACCUCAGAUCAGGUAGGGAUACCCGCUGAACUUAAGCAUAUCAAUAAGCGGAGGA
rnacentral:misc_RNA from 1 species